rnacentral:rRNA from 1 species
AACGAACGCUGGCGGCAUGCCUAACACAUGCAAGUCGAACGAGACCUUCGGGUCUAGUGGCGCACGGGUGCGUAACGCGUGGGAACCUGCCCUUAGGUUCGGAAUAACUCCCCGACAGGGGUGCUAAUACCGGAUAAUGUCUUCGGACCAAAGAUUUAUCGCCUUGGGAUGUGCACGCGUUGGAUUAGCUAGUUGGUUGGGUAAAAGCAUACCAAGGCGACGAUCCAUAGCUUGGUUGAGAGGAUGAUCAGCCACACUGGGACUGAGACACGGCCCAGACUCCUACGGGAGGCAGCAGUGGGUAAUAUUGGACAAUGGGCGAAAGCCUGAUCCAGCAAUGCCGCGUGAGUGAUGAAGGCCGUAGGGUUGUAAAGCUCUUUUACCCGUGAUGAUAAUGACAGUACCGGGAAAAUAAGCUCCGGCUAACUCCGUG